UGGGGAAUAUUGCACAAUGGGCGAAAGCCUGAUCCAGCCAUGCCGCGUGUGUGAAGAAGGUCUUCGGAUUGUAAAGCACUUUAAGUUGGGAGGAAGGGCAUUAACCUAAUACGUUAGUGUUUUGACGUUACCGACAGAAUAAGCACCGGCUAACUCUGUGCCAGCAGCCGCGGUAAUACAGAGGGUGCAAGCGUUAAUCGGAAUUACUGGGCGUAAAGCGCGCGUAGGUGGUUUGUUAAGUUGGAUGUGAAAUCCCCGGGCUCAACCUGGGAACUGCAUUCAAAACUGACUGACUAGAGUAUGGUAGAGGGUGGUGGAAUUUCCUGUGUAGCGGUGAAAUGCGUAGAUAUAGGAAGGAACACCAGUGGCGAAGGCGACCACCUGGACUAAUACUGACACUGAGGUGCGAAAGCGUGGGGAGCAAACA
rnacentral:rRNA from 1 species